AUUGAACGCUGGCGGCAGGCUUAACACAUGCAAGUCGAACGAUGAAGAUAUAGCUUGCUAUAUCGGAUUAGUGGCGGACGGGUGAGUAACACUUAGGAAUCUACCUUUUAGCGGGGGAUAGCUCGGGGAAACUCGAAUUAAUACCGCAUAAUUUCUACGGAAUAAAGAGGGCUUUUAGCUCUCACUAGAAGAUGAGCCUAAGUAAGAUUAGCUAGUUGGUGGGGUAAAAGCCUACCAAGGCGACGAUCUUUAGCUGGUCUGAGAGGAUGAUCGGCCACACUGGGACUGAGACACGGCCCAGACUCCUACGGGAGGCAGCAGUGGGGAAUAUUGGACAAUGGGGGCAACCCUGAUCCAGCCAUGCCGCGUGUGUGAAGAAGGCCUUUUGGUUGUAAAGCACUUUAAGCAGUGAAGAAGACCUAUUGGUUAAUACCCAAUAGCGAUGACAUUAACUGCAGAAUAAGCACCGGCUAACUCUGUGCCAGCAGCCGCGGUAAUACAGAGGGUGCAAGCGUUAAUCGGAAUUGCUGGGCGUAAAGCGAGCGUAGGUGGUUAAAUAAGUCAGAUGUGACAGCCCUGGGCUCAACCUAGGAACGGCAUCUGAAACUAUUUAACUAGAGUAGGUGAGAGGGAAGUAGAAUUUCAGGUGUAGCGGUGAAAUGCGUAGAGAUCUGAGGGAAUACCGAUGGCGAAGGCAGCUUCCUGGCAUCAUACUGACACUGAGGCUCGAAAGCGUGGGUAGCAAACAGG
rnacentral:rRNA from 1 species